rnacentral:rRNA from 1 species
UGCAAGUCGAGCGGGGAAAGGUAGCUUGCUACCUGACCUAGCGGCGGACGGGUGAGUAAUGCUUAGGAAUCUGCCUAUUAGUGGGGGACAACAUUCCGAAAGGAAUGCUAAUACCGCAUACGCCCUACGGGGGAAAGCAGGGGAUCUUCGGACCUUGCGCUAAUAGAUGAGCCUAAGUCAGAUUAGCUAGUUGGUGGGGUAAAGGCCUACCAAGGCGACGAUCUGUAGCGGGUCUGAGAGGAUGAUCCGCCACACUGGGACUGAGACACGGCCCAGACUCCUACGGGAGGCAGCAGUGGGGAAUAUUGGACAAUGGGCGAAAGCCUGAUCCAGCCAUGCCGCGUGUGUGAAGAAGGCCUUUUGGUUGUAAAGCACUUUAAGCGAGGAGGAGGCUACUUGGAUUAAUACUCUCGGAUAGUGGACGUUACUCGCAGAAUAAGCACCGGCUAACUCUGUGCCAGCAGCCGCGGUAAUACAGAGGGUGCGAGCGUUAAUCGGAUUUACUGGGCGUAAAGCGUGCGUAGGCGGCUUUUUAAGUCGGAUGUGAAAUCCCUGAGCUUAACUUAGGAAUUGCAUUCGAUACUGGGAAGCUAGAGUAUGGGAGAGGAUGGUAGAAUUCCAGGUGUAGCGGUGAAAUGCGUAGAGAUCUGGAGGAAUACCGAUGGCGAAGGCAGCCAUCUGGCCUAAUACUGACGCUGAGGUACGAAAGCAUGGGGAGCAAACAGGAUUAGAUACCCUGGUAGUCCAUGCCGUAAACGAUGUCUACUAGC